rnacentral:lncRNA from 1 species
AUACCAGCACACACAUGAGGACUCUCUGAAAGCCACUAAGCACUGUAAACUGACUAUACCCCAUGUCUAACUAGCUUCAAACCUGUGUUGUUAACUUCAGCCCGAGGGUGUCCUCUGAAGAGUGAGAACGACAGCAUUUUCUAAGCCAUCAUAAAAUGUGACAGCCAUUCCAAAGGUAGCCAAGUGACAAGCCCUUAAAAGGGUUGAGAAUGUAUAUUGGCUCUGAAAAAUGACUGAAAAUGGAACCAGCAACAAAAUAAGAACUGUUCCUAGGAGUCUUGUGGCUUUUUUCUGUCAUGCCCUUAUAGCUGUACUUAUUUCUAGGAUCUAAAAUUUGGAGGCUUGUGUUCAUGUUGUCCAAUUUGAUAUCUCCCAGAAAACAUGGAGUGUGGAGCAAGGAACUGGCACUUUUUUUCCCAAAGAUGACGUUUGCUCAGUGUGACAGCCCUUUCCCAGUUCUAUUUUAAAAUUCUAAAGAGGAUUUACCUAUGUCUAGAACUACCUAGAAACUUCCUAUAAGAGCUGAUCAGUUGGCAUUUGCCAUGAUGCUGAAGCAAAGUUAUCAAUCCUCUUUUGACAUUUUCCUUGAGGUCAGUUGGCCCAAGUGGUUGAAAGGAUGAAGCUCUGCAGGGUCACUUAGAUUCCAGGAUGGCAUUUGGACUGCAAGGGACAUUCAGAGAAGGUCCACCAUUUUCUUGAUGAAGUUCUGGAGGUGUCAGCCGAGGCAACAUUGGAUUCUCCGAGCAUUUCUCUCUUUCAUUAGCAGAGGU